rnacentral:rRNA from 1 species
AUUGAACGCUGGCGGCAGGCCUAACACAUGCAAGUCGAGCGGAUGAGUGGAGCUUGCUCCAUGAUUCAGCGGCGGACGGGUGAGUAAGGCCUAGGAAUCUGCCUGGUAGUGGGGGACAGCGUUUCGAAAGGAACGCUAAUACCGCAUACGUCCUACGGGAGAAAGUGGGGGAGCUUCGGACCUCACGCUAUCAGAUGAGCCGAGGUGCGAUUAGCUAGUUGGUGAGGUGAAGGAUCACCAAGGCGACGAUCCGUAACUGGUCUGAGAGGAUGAUCAGUCACACUGGAACUGAGACACGGUGCAGACUCCUACGGGAGGCAGCAGUGGGGAAUAUUGGACAAUGGGCGAAAGCCUGAUCCAGCCAUGCCGCGUGUGUGAAGAAGGUCUUCAGAUUGUAAAGCACUUUAAGUUGGGAGGAAGGGCAGUAAGUUAAUACCUUACUGUUUUGACGUUACCAACAGAAUAAGCACCGGCUAACUUCGUGCCAGCAGCCGCAGUAAAAC